rnacentral:rRNA from 1 species
UACGUAGGGUGCGAGCGUUAAUCGGAAUUACUGGGCGUAAAGCGUGCGUAGGCGGUUGGCAAAGUCAGCUGUGAAAGCCCCGGGCUUAACCUGGGAAUGGCGGUUGAAACUAGUCGACUAGAAUCUGGCAGAGGGGGGUGGAAUUCCACGUGUAGCAGUGAAAUGCGUAGAUAUCGAGAGGAACAUCAGUGGCGAAAGCGAAUCUCUGGGCAACAUCUGACGCUGAGGCACGAAAGCCAGGGGAGCAAACGGG